UCUGAAAUGCCUUCCAGGGGCUUAUCUGU
rnacentral:piRNA from 1 species